rnacentral:tRNA from 1 species
UCCCGGGUAGUGUAAUGGUAACACAGCGCCCUUUGGAGGCGUUAUUCAUGGUUCGAAUCCAUGCCCGGGAG